GGGUCAUGGAUGCUAGGGGGAGGAUCAUGGAUGCCGAGGGGGACAGGGAUGCCAGGGCGUGACAGCGCUCUUCGGGGCCGCCCUGUCUUGCCCGGUGCCCCCGCUGCCGCCCCCCCCGGCAGCCGUGACGGUGUGUAUGCCUAUGGGUCCAUGAUGACCCACAGCAUCCGUCAAGAAACUCCCACCGUUGUCCUCCAGGAGAAAGGGGAAAACUCCCGCCCGUGUCAGGGAGAAGGAGCAGGAGCAGCCCGGCAGGCACAGCCCGGCACUGGGGCCGGGGUGUCCGCACUGGGAAAGGAAAAGGCUCAGGAACAUCAAAGGGUUCCCACGAGCCCCCGCCUGGCGCGGGGGUCACAUGAAGCACCGGGAACGUCUCGGGAGAUAAAGAGGCUUUGUGGGGCUGGGAGCCGCGGUGGGGGCAGCCACAUACUCCCCAAUGACGCCCCCAGAGCUGCCCCGGGCGGGGCUGGUCCCAUCUCCUGCCGGAUCACCCGAUGUGGCGUUCCCUGUCAUCCCAUGCGAGCUCUGGGGUCGAUCUGGCACGAGCAGAGCACCGACAUCCCAAGCGCUCCGCAGCCCAAGCCCGGGCUGGGCUCGGCACCUCUCGCCUGCCCCGAGGAGGAGGAAGGAGGGAUAGAGAGGUGCUUUCAGGGUGGACAAAGAUCCUUUUGAAAGCUGGAGGUGGGAUGUAGGGGAGAAAUGCCGAGAGCAGAUGUUCCCCCAUGCCAUGGUGAGGGUUUGGAGCAGUGGAAUAUGGGAAUGAUAAAUAAGUUGUUUUAAUUUCUCAUCUGCCUGACAGGCCCUUGGACAGCCUCUCCUGCUCCUGGCUGCUCCAAAGGCAGACAACAGAGGGGCAGGACCAAGAGCUGUAACUGGGACACUUGGGCUGCAGCUCCAGGGGAAGCCUGGGAUUAAAGGAACAAACCCUUCCUGUUGCACAGGAAAGGCAGGGGCCGACUCAGGCAUCUGAAAAUGGGCAGGACAGAAACAGGAGUUUGGGCACACAAUGGGCUCGGCUCAGCCUUUGCUUUGUGCUACUCUGGGCUUCACUCCCGCUGUGGCCUGAACUCAAACUGAGUGAAAUUGUCAUCACUGAGAGCACAGAGGGAAUUUUGAUCCAUUCAGGGACCUUAUCCUCCAGUUUACCAAGAGGCACAUUCCAAACAGGCCUUUUCCAUCUCCAGUUUAGAUUUCAACAGAUGCAGAAAACCAUGAGUGCCACUGGGGUUUGGCUCCAGGGCAGAGCAGGGUUUGCUCCUCUCUCAGCUUUGCUUGUCCCCAGCCCAGGAAUCCCCACAAGCCAACGAUGUGCUGGAGCCUGCUGCAAAACUGCUGCCCUGGCUCUGGCUCCACUGGUUUGGGGCCUUUGGGGUUCCUCCCCCAAGUGCCAACCAUGGUGAGAGCUGGGGAAGUUCUGGGUUCACAGAGAGAUCCAGAAGCAGUGUUUUUAGGGGUCUGUCUCACUGGGAUUUUGCACUGAUGCAGCUCAGGUUUGGCCCAGCUCCUGGGAAUGUCUAUGUCUGAUGGAGUCCAGCAGGAUUUGCUGCUUCCUGUGAAAACAGUUCCAUUUCUCUGCAAGCCAGUGUCCCCUCAGCCCCAGCUGUCCCUCUCUGCAAGGACCUGCCUAUGGGGACACUGCAGGGAACCCCAGAGCAGGGAACCCCACGAUAGAGAGGACAUGGGGACUCAUGGAGGGCUGGGCUGGUCCUUUUGGGGACAGUUGGAAAGGGGAGGUUUGGAAGUGGAAGGGGCUGAGUGAUGAACUUCAGAGUCAUCUUCCCCUCCUCUUCCCCCACUUUGUUCCAGAAAUAAAUUAAAAGCUCUCCCUCCAGGAAAUUAAAAAUUAU
rnacentral:lncRNA from 12 species